UACGUAGGUCGCAAGCGUUGUCCGGAUUUACUGGGCGUAAAGAGCGCGCAGGCGGCUGGUCAAGUCCGAUGUGAAAUCUCCCGGCUCAACUGGGAAACUGCAUCGGAAACUGAUCGGCUUGAAGAUGGGAGAGGGUAGUGGAAUUCCCGGUGUAGUGGUGAAAUGCGUAGAUAUCGGGAGGAACACCAGUGGCGAAGGCGACUACCUGGCCUGUUCUUGACGCUGAGGCGCGAAAGCUAGGGGAGCGAACAGG
rnacentral:rRNA from 1 species